AGUGAAAUGAUGAAGAAUUUUUUGUCUGAAACUGAUGUUGAAUCUUGUUUCAUACAUGCCUUCAAAGUUCUCUGAUCGCU